rnacentral:rRNA from 1 species
CGCUGGCGGCGUGCCUAAUACAUGCAAGUCGAACGGCUUUUCUAUGGAAGCUUGCUUCCACUGAGAAGAUAGUGGCGAACGGGUGAGUAACACGUGGGUAACCUGCCCAUAAGAGGGGGGAUAACAUCCGGAAACGGGUGCUAAUACCGCAUAGUUUUCUUGAUCGCAUGAUUGAGAAAGGAAAGACGGCCUUUGUGCUGUCGCUUAUGGAUGGACCCGCGGCGUAUUAGUUAGUUGGUGAGGUAACGGCUCACCAAGACGAUGAUACGUAGCCGACCUGAGAGGGUGAUCGGCCACAUUGGGACUGAGACACGGCCCAAACUCCUACGGGAGGCAGCAGUAGGGAAUCUUCCGCAAUGGACGAAAGUCUGACGGAGCAACGCCGCGUGAGUGAAGAAAGGUUUUCGGAUCGUAAAACUCUGUUGUCAGAGAAGAACAAGUUGGAGAGUAACUGCUCCAGCCUUGACGGUAUCUGACCAGAAAGCCACGGCUAACUACGUGCCAGCAGCGGC